AUGCAGUCGAGCGGAUGACAGGAGCUUGCUCCUGAAUUCAGCGGCGGACGGGUGAGUAAUGCCUAGGAAUCUGCCUGGUAGUGGGGGACAACGUUUCGAAAGGAACGCUAAUACCGCAUACGUCCUACGGGAGAAAGCAGGGGACCUUCGGGCCUUGCGCUAUCAGAUGAGCCUAGGUCGGAUUAGCUAGUUGGUGAGGUAAUGGCUCACCAAGGCGACGAUCCGUAACUGGUCUGAGAGGAUGAUCAGUCACACUGGAACUGAGACACGGUCCAGACUCCUACGGGAGGCAGCAGUGGGGAAUAUUGGACAAUGGGCGAAAGCCUGAUCCAGCCAUGCCGCGUGUGUGAAGAAGGUCUUCGGAUUGUAAAGCACUUUAAGUUGGGAGGAAGGGUUGUAAAUUAAUACUUUGCUGUUUUGACGUUACCGACAGAAUAAGCACCGGCUAACUCUGUGCCAGCAGCCGCGGUAAUACAGAGGGUGCAAGCGUUAAUCGGAAUUACUGGGCG
rnacentral:rRNA from 1 species